rnacentral:rRNA from 1 species
UACGGGGGGGGCAAGCGUUGUUCGGAAUUACUGGGCGUAAAGGGCUCGUAGGCGGCCAACUAAGUCGGAUGUGAAAUCCCCAGGCUUAACCUGGAACUGCAUCCGAUACUGGAUGGCUUGAAUCCGGGAGAGGGAUGCGGAAUUCCAGGUGUAGCGGUGAAAUGCGUAGAUAUCUGGAGGAACACCGGUGGCGAAGGCGGCAUCCUGGACCGGCAUUGACGCUGAGACGCGAAAGCGUGGGGAGCAAACAGG